AAAUCUCUGUUUAGCAAUGAAAUCAUUUGUGCUUACCUUUUUUGGCUGCAAUUUUCAUGCAAAUCUAUCGAGAGCGAGCUGCAAAGAGAAAGGUGUUGUCUAGUACGACGGCUCGCGAAAUUAGUAUGCAACGCAUGCUGGACAGUGUUUGUUGAUGAUCGGCCAGGCAACUGAUUGGAUAUGCAUUUAGGCAAUGAUUUAUACACACACAGGCAGAACGGAACAGCAGCUGGCCAGAGAUGAUUGCCAAAUGUAUCAUCCAGCUUGCAGAGCAGCUAGCUCAAGUUUUUGCAAUUCAAUCAGAUGACAUUGGCUCAGUCAACGGAACCAGACGUCAUUUGAAAUACAAAUCGCUACACGUAGCACAUCAGGUUUCGCCAUGGCCACCGCACUCUAACAUACUCGGACAGACAGUUCGCUUCUCAGUCUGUCUGCUAGUCACUUAAAGCUGUAGAAUUUCUAAACUGGUUGAGCAACACAAAAGGCCGCCGGACCGAGCGUUCAUUAUACUAACUGCAACUCGGUGGUGUGGUGGUGCGAUGGUGCAAUGGUCAGCUGCAAUGGUGCAGCUCCGGAUAACAAUUUGCGUGUGUUAAUUGAGACUAAACAGCAGUCGGUAGAGGCGAGUAGAGGUAGAGGCGGCCCUAACGCUUUGAUUAAUUAUGGACGGCCUGUCAUAAUUUACAUUGCAACGAAAGUGAUGGACACAGCUCCGGAGCUCCACAGCUCCACGGACUGACAGCUCCCACUGUUAAUUUGCUGUAAUUGCGCUGCCUAGGCAAAUGCAUGCAACGGGGUGACAUAUGCUGCCGCAUGGCAUGCAAGAAUUCAAUUAGGCGUUGAGAAAUACAUAUACAUACAUAUAUAUAUCUAUGAAUAUAUCUGUUGCACAAUGCUUUCAGUUUGUCUCACAGAAAAUGAAAGCUGCUUCGUUUUCCCAUUGUUAUUGUAACCCACAAAAAUUGUGGCGUGGCACUUGAGGCGUUUGGCCAAGCAGUUGACAAAUCAUCAUCAGAUUUACUUUUCAAGAAUUAAUUCGCCAGCGCUGCGAAUAACGCCAACUCAUGGCCUAAUCAAAAGUAAGAGUAAAGCAACUGUUAAUAACCAGCCAGCGUCGAGCAUCAUCGUAAACAAACGCAAACACAACAAAUAUAAAUACAAUCAACAAUGAAAACAAA